AGGAUCUGAUUGCAGGAAAUCCCUUGAAGUAAUGAGGCCAGUUUAAUCUGGUCUUCAGCAACAUUUCUCUCUUCCUUUAGGAGUCGGCUGUGAACAUCUCACUGCAGUCAAGGAUGAAGAGUCCAGUUUAGAAGGCAGCUCUGGUCCUCCAUCCUACAGAUACUCCAACACUACAGCUGCUGCUGAUCAUUUCUUCUGCUAUCAACAAUCUCCAGGAGAACCAGUUCCUCCUGCACAUCUGACCCACUGACAGUGUAACUCCACUAGAGGGCGACAUGAUCCAGUAGGCGGUGCUCUACCUGUGCUCUGUGCUCCAGCAUUGUGUCAAUAAUAAGUGGUGCUGUGAAGAGAACAAUUGUCAGACUGAAUGUUGAACAUCAGCUAGUUUCUCCUGCUGAUUUAAACCUUGUUGGACAGAUGGAACAUUGGCUGUGGAUUAUUCUUGCUGCUCUUUUCUUUGAGUGUAAAGGAGACACAGUGAAGCAGCCAGAAGGAGAUGUUGCUGCUGAAGGAGAAACACGGACUCUGGAAUGUACUUAUGAAACCAGUGAUCCUUUUCCAAGAUUGUUCUGGUACAAACAAAACAGAAAUGACUUCCCAAAGUACAUCUUGAAACGUUCUGGAGAGACUGUAGAGGCUGCUCCAGAAAUAAACACUAAGAGAUUCUCAGGAAAACCUCAGCAAAAGUCCUUUGAUCUGAAGAUCCAGGAUCUCCAUCUGUCUGACUCUGCUGUGUACUACUGUGCUCUGCAGCCCACAGUGACAGGAAACACCAGAACUCUGAACAAGAACCUGCAGAGUAAAGACAAGACAAUGCUCCACAACAGCCACUAGAGGGCCUCAUACAG